rnacentral:rRNA from 26 species
GAAUGCUGACAUAAGUAACGAUAAAGCGGGUGAAAAGCCCGCUCGCCGGAAGACCAAGGGUUCCUGUCCAACGUUAAUCGGGGCAGGGUGAGUCGACCCCUAAGGCGAGGCCGAAAGGCGUAGUCGAUGGGAAACGGGUUAAUAUUCCCGUACUUGGUGUUACUGCGAAGGGGGGACGGAGAAGGCUAUGUUGGCCGGGCGACGGUUGUCCCGGUUUAAGCGUGUAGGUGUGUGUUCCAGGUAAAUCCGGUUCACUUUAACACUGAGGCGUGAUGACGAGGCACUACGGUGCUGAAGCAACAAAUGCCCUGCUUCCAGGAAAAGCCUCUAAGCAUCAGGUAACAUCAAAUCGUACCCCAAACCGACACAGGUGGUCAGGUAGAGAAUACCAAGGCGCUUGAGAGAACUCGGGUGAAGGAACUAGGCAAAAUGGUGCCGUAACU